ACGGGAGGCAGCAGUGGGGAAUAUUGGGCAAUGGGCGAAAGCCUGACCCAGCAACGCCGCGUGAAGGAAGAAGGUCUUCGGAUUGUAAACUUCUUUUAUGAGGGACGAAGGGCGUGACGGUACCUCACGAAUAAGCCACGGCUAACUACGUGCCAGCAGCCGCGGUAAUACGUAGGUGGCGAGCGUUAUCCGGAUUUACUGGGUGUAAAGGGCGCGUAGGCGGGAUGACAAGUCGGAUGUGAAAUCUAUGGGCUUAACCCAUAAACUGCAUUUGAAACUGCCAUUCUUGAGUGCUGGAGAGGUAGACGGAAUUCCUUGUGUAGCGGUGAAAUGCGUAGAUAUAAGGAAGAACACCAGUGGCGAAGGCGGUCUACUGGACAGUAACUGACGCUGAGGCGCGAAAGCGUGGGGAGCAAACAGGAUUAGAUACCCUGGUA
rnacentral:rRNA from 1 species